rnacentral:rRNA from 1 species
AUACGGAAGGUCCGGGCGUUAUCCGGAUUUAUUGGGUUUAAAGGGAGCGCAGGCGGAGAUGCAAGCGUGACGUCAAAUUUCGGGGCUCAACCCCGUCUCGCGUCGCGAACUGCGUCCCUUGGUUGCGGGAAGGGGAGGCGGAACUCGUGGUGUAGCGGUGAAAUGCAUAGAUAUCACGAAGAACUCCGAUCGCGAAGGCAGCCUUCCGGCCCGUCAACGACGCUCAUGCUCGAAGGUGCGGGUAUCAAACAGGAGUAGAUACCCUGGUAGUCCGCACAGUAAACGAUGGACACCCGUGGUUUGGCCUGUAUGGCUGAGCCGCCAAGCGAAAGCGUUAAGUGUCCCACCUGGGGAGUACGCCGGCAACGGUGAAACUCAAAGGAAUUGACGGGG